AGUGAACGCUGGCGGUAGGCCUAACACAUGCAAGUCGAACGGCAGCAUAGUAAGAGCUUGCUCUUAGGGGGGGGGGGGGGCGGAGGGGGGGGAAAAACAUCGAAUCCUCCUUUUUGGGGGGGGAUAAGGAGGGAAAACUACGCUUAUAACGCCAUCCAACUACGGGUGAAAGCAGGGGGUCCUCGGAACCUGCGCGAUUGAAUGGACCCGAUGUCGGAUUAGCUAGUUGGCGGGGUAAGGGCCCACCAAGGCGACGAUCCGUAGCUGGUCUGAGAGGAUGAUCAGCCACACUGGAACUGAGACACGGUCCAGACUCCUACGGGAGGCAGCAGUGGGGAAUAUUGGACAAUGGGCGCAAGCCUGAUCCAGCCAUACCGCGUGGGUGAAGAAGGCCUUCGGGUUGUAAAGCCCUUUUGUUGGGAAAGAAAAGCAGCAGGUUAAUACCCCGCUGUUCUGACGGUACCCAAAGAAUAAGCACCGGCUAACUUCGUG
rnacentral:rRNA from 1 species